UUGGCUGUGAGUUCGUCUCGAGCCUGAACCAGAGGUCAGCUGAGGGCCUCUCCGCACCCCACCCCUCCAACUCACCAGCUCCUAGGCUUUACGUGCCCAACUGCCCUGUCUGCUGUCUCCUGAGCCUCCCCACAACACUGGGCCUCUGCAACCUUCGUGCCUUGGGAGGUGCUAUUCCCUUCAUCCAAAAUGCCUCCUUGCUAAGGCCCAUCUUGAAUCUGACCUCCUUCCUACGAGCCGCUAUUUACUCACUCUCAACAUACACCACGCACCGUGCUCCUGAGGACUGACCUGCUCACCUGCUCACCCGGUGCCUGUGGGUGUUCUUGCCAAUGUGAGAUACGCGAUUCCCGGAUCUGCUGCUCCAUCUCGCUCAGCCCAGCACCCACCUUUCAGGGGGAGGAGGAAGAAACAGCUUGAAUGGCGUCCCCACCCGGGCUGCCAGGGGCAGGAGGCGAUAGGGUAGGGGCCCUGGCAAACGUACCCGCUCAGCUUCCUCCAGCUCCUGUCUGCGUGCUUCAGACGCCAGCACCUGCUGGGACGCCUGUUGGAGCGUGGCUUGCGUCUGGCUGGUGAGCCUGCUGGCACGGCGGUGCGCCUGUUUCCGCUCCCUCAGCAAGGCCUUGGCAAGCUAUGGGAUGGGUGGCAGUGGCAGGGAGAAGAAGUGAGUGCAGCAAGUCCUUUUGGAGGUAAAUAGCUCUUAUGGCAAUGAUGCCAAGCAGUUGUCUGUACCAGGCAGAUCAUUCAUUCAUUCAUGCACGCAACAAAUAUGUACUGAAUGCAGGCUAAGUGCUGGGCACAGUGUAGACUGCUGGAUACCACCCGUUUCAGGAGGAGCAAUUCUAACUAUUUUACAGAGCGUAUCAAUAGGCUAGGAGACCCCCGGCCACACCCUGGGGAAGACUGCUCCACAGUUCACCUUGUGAAUUUUCCUUUUAUCCUGAACACCAACUGAGCACAGCCAAGCUGGUGGUAAGAAAGGGUGUCUCUAAAAUGGGAUCAGAAUGGGGAAAAGAGCCUGGGGUUAGAGGUUUGAGGUUAGCCCUCCUGUGGAUUAUGGGAACAGUGCAAGGAAAUUUCCAUCCACUACACACAAGAAUGUUCUCAUUCUCAGAACCCGACAAUGAGAAGGUAAAAGCUUGUAAGGUAGUGAGCCCCCCAUUGUUGGAGAUAGGCAAGCUGAGGGUGGGCGAGUCCACUGCCAGGUGUGAGAUUUGCAGCAGAUGACCUUAAGACCUCUUAUAAUUCUAAUGUUCUAAGAUCCUAACAUUCCAUCAUUAUAAGUCAUUGAAUGUACCUUUUUCUAAAUAUGACUCUAGAUACUUAAGCACACACGGCCACGCCUUUCCGACAGGAAGUCCCCAAACGAUGGGUGACUAGGACUUCAAGCCGCCAGGAAGCUGGGGAACAGGAGCACUGACCAGCCCAUCCUCUGCCCCAGAGGGGCUGGGUCCACAGCUAGCGCUCCAUCUCUUCCGGGCAGUGGGCAGGGCUGGGGAGGGAGGCCACAGAACAACAGCAGAAGCCUGACUUCUGGCCUCAGACCCCAAGAGACAUCUGGGGUUCAGAGUGUGUUCCUGCCUUAUCCAGCCCGUUGGAUAAGGAGCCACAAACAAAGGGUGAGGGGGCUUCUCUCUGGAGCAAAUUGGGUAUCACAGAAGCCCAUCACACAGGUGGAUACUUGCAGAAUCGUAAUACUUGCUGGCUUCUAUUCCCAGCUUAGCUCUGACCCAGGGAUGAAUAGCAAUUCCUUUCCUCAGCCUACCCAUCUGCAAAAUGGGGGCACUAGACUGGCAUCAACCCAUAGCCCCUUCUAAAGAGAAACUCCAUCUGCUUCCCAUAGCCCCAACUCAACAUUGGACCCGGACAGCCAUAUUUGUAUCAGAUAACUAACUGGAGCCCAGGCCAGAGUGGACUUGACCUGGUUGAACAGCCAAUGAUGUUAGAGUCUCCUCUCACUUGGUCUGGAGGGGCUCUGCAUGUGGUCUGAUGACCUGGGGUGUAUGGGAUAGCCACAUGGGCAAGUCCGAGGUGAGUGAUGUAUGAGAUGGGGCAGGAUCCUGAGAGGUGGAGGGAAAGUCUGUUUGGCUUAAUUAAGCCCACAAGACCAGACUCCUGUCCUCUGCAAGCCUGCCCUGGCUGAGGCGAGAGGUGAGUGGCUGUCAGGGGCGUUCGUCAUUACACAGCCUAGUGGUCAGCUGGACUCACGUACCUUCCAGAUCAGCCAGCAGAGUCCUGGCUCCCAUGACAGUCACUGUCGCAGCCUGGACAGAUGAGGAAGCCUGGGUCAGGGCGGCUCUGGCCUCCUGGUGCAGCUGGAGAGAGAUGAGGAGAGGCUGGGCAGCUGGCUCCACAGGAGCAGGGCCCAGGGGCAGCUCAGUGGGCACCAAACCCACAUACAUGGGUGCCCAAAUCAUCACCAAAUCCCUGACGCUGGGUCACGCUGUCCACCAGGAGCACCUGAUCUGUGUUAUUAUACAAAAGUUGAACUCCGAAUGUCUCCCAAGAGAUACCUGUCCACAAAAGCCCGGAGGAAAACUAAAACACUAGAAUUAAAGGAACGAGAACACCUGAACAUCUCUUUAGAACAUGUUCUAUUGGCCAGGCACAGAGACUCACACCUGUAAUCCCAACACUUUGGAAGGCCGAGGUGGGCAGAUCACUUGAGGUCAGGAGUUCGAGACCAGCCUGGCCAACAUGGUGAAACCCUGUCUCUACUAAAAAUUUAUUUAAAAUUAGCUAGGUGUGGUGGUGCAUGCCUGCAAUCCCAGCUACUGGGGGAGGCUGAGGCGGGAGUAUGGCUUGAACCUAUGGGGCAGAGGUUAUAGUGAGCGGAGAUCAAGCCACUGCACUCCAGCCUGGGUGGCAUAAAGAUUCCAUCUAAAAAAGAGAGAGAAAGAAAGGAAGGAAGGGAGGGAGGGAGGGAGGGAGGGAGGGAACACUGCUCUAUCUCAGCAAGUGGAUGUGAAAAUCGCAAAUCUGUUUAUGACACCACCUUGACUUAUGGAAGAUCAGUUUCUUCCCCACUGCCACUCAACAGGACUAGAUACACUGAAAGAAUUUGGGUCUGAUAGAUGAGUGGGUAAACAAAAUGUGCUUCAUCCACACACUGGAAUAUGACCGAGCCUUUCAAAGGGAGGAAGUAUAGAUCCAGGCCGCAAGGCAGGUGAACCCUGAAAAGGUGAUGCCAUCAGGAGGAAGCCUGACACCAUCGGCACAUAUUACACGAUUCCAUUUCUGCAAAAGAGCUGGACUAAGGAAAUCUACAGAGACAGAGAACAGAGUGGAGGCUGCCCGGGCCUCGGAAGUGGAAAUGAGGAGGGACUGCUGAGUGGGCAUGGAGUUAGGGGUGGUGAGAAUGUUCUGAAACUAGACUGAGGUGGAGGUGGCAUAACAUCGUGAACGUGCUAAAGCCAUUGCAUCUAAAAUGGGUGUUUGUAUGCCACGUGAAUGUCACUGUAACAAGAAUAAAUAAAUAGUAGUUUGAGGAGCCA
rnacentral:lncRNA from 1 species